AAUUGAAAAUUUCAUCCAUUUUUUCUAUUAAAAACUGAAGUGAUUGAUGGACUAACCGGACAGUUUUACAUAGUGUGCCAUGUGUAUUGCAUGAUGACAUAUAGAGACUAGUUUUUAAUAGUAGAAAUGGAUAAAAAUUUUAACA
rnacentral:pre_miRNA from 1 species